rnacentral:rRNA from 1 species
GGAUCCAGACUUUGAUUAUGGCUCAGAACGAACGCUGGCGGCAGGCCUAACACAUGCAAGUCGAGCGCUCACUUCGGUGGGAGCGGCGGACGGGUUAGUAACGCGUGGGAACGUGCCCAAAUCUAAGGAAUAGCCACUGGAAACGGUGAGUAAUACCUUAUACGCCCUUCGGGGGAAAGAUUUAUCGGAUUUGGAUCGGCCCGCGUUAGAUUAGAUAGUUGGUGGGGUAAUGGCCUACCAAGUCUACGAUCUAUAGCUGGUUUUAGAGGAUGAUCAGCAACACUGGGACUGAGACACGGCCCAGACUCCUACGGGAGGCAGCAGUGGGGAAUCUUGGACAAUGGGGGCAACCCUGAUCCAGCCAUGCCGCGUGAGUGAUGAAGGCCUUAGGGUCGUAAAGCUCUUUCGCCAGGGAUGAUAAUGACAGUACCUGGUAAAGAAACCCCGGCUAACUCCGUGCCAGCAGCCGCGG